AGAGUUUGUCCUGGCUCAGGAUGAACGCUAGCGGGAGGCUUAACACUGCAAGUCGAGGGGCAUCACGAGGUAGCAAUACUUGGUGGCGACCGGCGCACGGGUGAGUAACGCGUAUGUAACCUACCCUGUACAGGGGGAUAGCCCGGAGAAAUUCGGAUUAAUACCCCAUAAAGAUAUUGAGGCAUCUUAAGAUAUUUAAAGUUUCGACGGUACGGGAUGGGCAUGCGUAACAUAGCUAGUUGGUAAGGUAACGGCUUACCAAGGCGACGAUGUUUAGGGGUCCUGAGAGGGUGAUCCCCCACACUGGUACUGAGACACGGACCAGACUCCUACGGGAGGCAGCAGUGAGGAAUAUUGGUCAAUGGGCGUAAGCCUGAACCAGCCAUCCCGCGUGAAGGAAGAAGGCGCUAUGCGUUGUAAACUUCUUUUCCAGGGGAAGAAAACCCCCGACGUGUCGGGGCUUGUCGGUACCCUGGGAAUAAGCAUCGGCUAACUCCGUGCCAGCAGCCGCGGUAAUACGGAGGAUGCGAGCGUUAUCCGGAUUUAUUGGGUUUAAAGGGUGCGUAGGCGGAUUAAUAAGUCAGUGGUGAAAACCUUCAGCUUAACUGGAGACUUGCCAUUGAUACUGUUAGUCUUGAGUACGGUCAAGGUAGGCGGAAUGUGUAAUGUAGCGGUGAAAUGCUUAGAUAUUACACAGAACACCGAUUGCGAAGGCAGCUUACUGGGCCAUUACUGACGCUGAUGCACGAAAGCGUGGGGAGCGAACAGGAUUAGAUACCCUGGUAGUC
rnacentral:rRNA from 1 species